UACGUAGGGUGCAAGCGUUGUCCGGAAUUAUUGGGCGUAAAGAGCUCGUAGGCGGUUCGUCGCGUCGGCUGUGAAAACCCGGAGCUCAACUCCGGGCCUGCAGUCGAUACGGGCGGACUUGAGUGUUGCAGGGGAGACUGGGAUUCCUGGUGUAGCGGUGAAAUGCGCAGAUAUCAGGAGGAACACCGGUGGCGAAGGCGGGUCUCUGGGCCGAUACUGACGCUGAGGAGCGAAAGCGUGGGGAGCGAACAGG
rnacentral:rRNA from 1 species